UGCCGUCUAAUCGUGCUUAAAUGUGGCUAUGUGUACUUUAAUUCUGGACUUUUUUCCUUUUCCCUUAGGAUUUCAUGGACUUCGUGGAGCUCCCUCAACACGGAAUAAGGUGGCGCUGGCCGCGACGUUUCGUCCGCUUCUUGGGACUUCCUCAGGCUUAAGGCCACAGCAUGCAGGAUUUCAUGGACUUCGUGGAGCUCCCUCAACACGGAAUAAGGUAAGGCUAGGGUUUUGAGGCUGGGAUUUUGGGGUUGGGACUUAAUUAGGGUUGUAGGACCUUAGGUUUAGGGCCACAAAAUGGGCUAGGGGAUAGGCCAAUUAAUGGGAAUCAGAGUGACAAAUUGGGACUGAUGUUAAAUUGGGGUAGAGCAGGGACUUAGGGUUAGCUUAGCAUAGCUUAACAUGGGUGGGAGGACCAGACAUAUGUCCAAGGAGGCGCUGGCUAAGUUAGGUGAGAACUAGGAGCUGGGACCCACCGAAGUGGAUCCCAACAGUGCACGGGCCAUCAUCAGGGACGUCCAGUCCUCCGUCGCCAUCUUCCAGGUAUGGGUUUGUAUAAUCUACUAUUUAGAUCAUGUUAGACAGGUUCGCCUUUGUUAUAUGAAGUAUAAUGGUUUGGCUCUUGUAAUUCCCUCCCUUGUCGGUUAACCAGUGUUUUUCUUCUGCAUGUCUAUAGGUGGCGCUGGCCGCGACGUUUCGUCCGCUUCUUGGGACUUCCUCAGGCUUAAGGCCACAGCAUGCAGGUAAGUAUAUCCCCUAUAUGGGUUACAGUGAGGAGAGGUUGCUCCCUCAGAGGUUCGUGCCAAACUGAUUUUUGUUCCUGUCUGUUCCUGCAUUUUAUAGGCUCCUCCUGCUCUCCGAACAUUCGUGUCCUGUUACUUUUGUCCAAAUUCCGUAUUCCCAUUUAUUUAUAAUUGUUAUCGUGUAACCGUAUGUCCUCUUUCCUUUAUUCUUUCCUUUCCCAUCACCCAACUCUCAUUCUUUUCCUUUAACCUGUAUGUGUUCACAUUUUGUGAUUCAAUAUUUCCAGUACUUUUAUGCCGUCUAAUCGUGCUUAAAUGUGGC
rnacentral:lncRNA from 15 species